GCAUCAACUUCGACGAACUCUUCGUCGGCAUCGACAUCCACGGAGAUGUCUUGCCGGACUUGGAGAUGUUCGGCGAGUUCUCCGUGGAUGUCAGCACCGGCGAGGAAUCGUCGGAGAUGAACU
rnacentral:pre_miRNA from 1 species